CUUCAUUUUCCUUUUACCUUUGUCCUCAAUUCAUUUGCUCGUUUUGCAAACUUGAUAAGUUUGAUGGCUUGUUCCGAAGCUGAGUUGGGUUACAUUUUUUCGGGGUACAAAGUGAUAAUCCUUUCCCAUGUCAUUAUUUACAUUAAAUACACACAGUUAUGAAGACACACAAGUUCAAUAUAUAUCCAGUGUUGUAAUUACGAACAGUCGUUAAACCCUAAUUUCCUUUUGUAGAUUAACUUAUCACAAUAAUACACUUUACACAAUAUCAUAUAAAU
rnacentral:lncRNA from 1 species